rnacentral:rRNA from 1 species
GACGUAGGGUGCGAGCGUUGUCCGGAUUUAUUGGGCGUAAAGAGCUCGUAGGCGGCUCGUCGCGUCGACCGUGAAAACUUGGGGCUUAACCCUAAGCUUGCGGUUGAUACGGGCGGGCUAGAGUUCGGUAGGGGAGACUGGAAUUCCUGGUGUAGCGGUGAAAUGCGCAGAUAUCAGGAGGAACACCGGUGGCGAAGGCGGCCUUCUGGACGGUGACUGACGCUGAGGCGCGAAAGCGUGGGGAGCAAACGGG